AUACGUAGGGGGCGAGCGUUGUCCGGAAUGAUUGGGCGUAAAGGGCGCGUAGGCGGCGCGGUAAGUCUGGAGUGAAAGUCCUGCUUUCAAGGUGGGAAUUGCUUUGGAUACUGCCGCGCUUGAGUGCAGGAGAGGUUAUCGGAAUUCCCGGUGUAGCGGUGAAAUGCGUAGAGAUCGGGAGGAACACCAGUGGCGAAGGCGGGUAACUGGACUGCAACUGACGCUGAGGCGCGAAAGUGUGGGGAGCAAACAGGAUUAGAUACCCUGGUAGUCCUCACUGUAAACGAUGAAUGCUAGGUGUAAGAGGUAUCGACCCCUUUUGUGCCGGAGUCAACACAAUAAGCAUUCCGCCUGGGGAGUACGGCCGCAAGGUUGAAACUCAAAUGAAUUGACGGGG
rnacentral:rRNA from 1 species